rnacentral:rRNA from 1 species
GACGAACGCUGGCGGCGUGCUUAACACAUGCAAGUCGAGCGGUAAGGCCCUUCGGGUACACGAGCGGCGAACGGGUGAGUAACACGUGGGUGACCUGCCUCUAGCUCUGGGAUAAGCCUGGGAAACUGGGUCUAAUACCGGAUAUGACUCCACGGCGCAUGUUGUGGGGUGGAAAGCCUUGUGUGGCUAGAGAUGGGCCCGCGGCCUAUCAGCUUGUUGGUGGGGUGAUGGCCACCAAGGCGACGACGGGUAGCCGGCCUGAGAGGGCGACCGGCCACACUGGGACUGAGACACGGCCCAGACUCCUACGGGAGGCAGCAGUGGGGAAUCUUGCGCAAUGGGCGAAAGCCUGACGCAGCGACGCCGCGUGA